rnacentral:rRNA from 1 species
ACGCGUAGGUAACCUGCCUUGUAGCGGGGGAUAACUAUUGGAAACGAUAGCUAAUACCGCAUAACAAUGGAUGACACAUGUCAUUUAUUUGAAAGGGGCAAUUGCUCCACUACAAGAUGGACCUGCGUUGUAUUAGCUAGUAGGUGAGGUAAUGGCUCACCUAGGCGACGAUACAUAGCCGACCUGAGAGGGUGAUCGGCCACACUGGGACUGAGACACGGCCCAAACUCCUACGGGAGGCAGCAUG